rnacentral:lncRNA from 1 species
UCUGGAGCUCGCCUUGCGCAUUCUCACCCCCCUCUCUCGGGGGCCUAAACUGUUCCUCUCGAUUCCAAGUCAACGGGAGCUUGGAGCUCGUCGUGAUGGAGGAGGUGGUGUGGAGCACAAGCACAGAUGGGAGAAAUGCGAGCUUUGCGAGGCUCAGCGAUGGUGGAGAGCUCUCACUUGUGACGUCCUCUAACCAGGUUGUAUGGACGAGUAACGAUGUGCCA